ACAGAUUCAAAAUCCGGCCAAAAAAUCCUACAACAUCUAUAUGAUCCAAGGACAGAGUAACAAUUUUAUAGAUCUAGAUCUAUAUCAGACUAAACCCAUAGCAGACUAAAUCAAAAACAUUAGCAGACAAAAUAAGAUCUAGGCCUCCGUCGACUACUCCGCUACCAGAAGAAUCGCUGGCGAAACGACGUCCGCCAUAGAUACAAUCAAGAACAAAAUAGAGCAGCAAAAUCAAUAAUUUAGAUCCGAGAGCCUCGUCUGUCAGCCGACGCCAGAUCCCACCAUUUAGAUCCGAAAUACAUCUUCAAAAACCAUCACCAGCAAAUACCAACAAGAUCCGUAACCCCGGAUCUAUAACAAAUACAUAAUCAUCUUAGAGAAGAGAGAGCUCCUUAUCCUCCUCAUCUUGAAUAUAAAGGUUAAAAAUUGCCGCCGAUCAGAAUCAAAAUCAAAUUACGAUGACGGCAACGAUGAUCGGAGGAUGAGAGAUGUACGGAAUUCACCGGAGAGAGAAACAACGGAUGGAGACAGUAAUUUCCCAAAUCCACCAUCUAGCACCGAAUUGGAAUUUUCAGUUUUGUGUUUUUCAUCCGUCGGGGGAAACAAAAAUCAAUUUGUACUAAAAAUAAAACUACUGCUAAUAAUUAAUAAAUUAAUAAUAAAUAAUAUAAUUUUAAAAUAUUGACAGUACACUUAAACAAGAAAUGAAAUUACUAACCUGAGUUAUGUUUAAGGGAAGAUAUGUAAAAUCUAAUGAACCUGAAUCACUUUU
rnacentral:lncRNA from 1 species